GUACUCACUUCAGCAGCUCAUACACUGAAAUUUGAAUGAUGCGGAGAAGAUUAGCAUGGCCCCUGUGCGACGAUGACAUGCAAACUUGUGCAGUGUUCCAUAUGUUU
ensembl:snRNA U6 U6 spliceosomal RNA